CACUAGCGCGUAAUGAUUGAAGUUUAUUUCAUUGUCUCGUCAGUUUGUUUACAAACGCUCGCACUAGCGGGCUUCUUGUGAUAUUAACGUGUUUAAUUGUUAUAUUUGUGACAUGGAGUUAUAUGCAGAUACUACGGUUACCAGAAACUAUCGAAGCAGUUUAGAGGAACUAUUCACAGACUUCGAUGAUUGGGUCCGGAAAUUCAGAAGAUGCAUGGACAAACGAUCACUAGAUUUCGAUGCGGUGGAAACAACUAAAUGUGAUUGUAGGAAGGAACAAAUAAACGACAUAAAAAACAUAAAGAUGAUUCAUAAUUAUCUAAUCGGAAAAAACUUUAGUGAAAAUGGCGCGAAUACCUUCGAGAUGACAAAUCAAGAUGGCGAUUUUAUUACCACAGACUAUAUCUAUUAUUGUUUAGUUAAGAGAUACUUAAGAAAUAAUACACGUUCAAAGCUUUA